GAUGAACGCUGGCGGCGUGCCUAAUACAUGCAAGUCGAGCGAACAGACGAGGAGCUUGCUCCUCUGACGUUAGCGGCGGACGGGUGAGUAACACGUGGAUAACAUACCUCUAAGACUGGGAUAACUUCGGGAAACCGGAGCUACUACCGGCUAAUAUAUUGAACCGCAUGGUUCAAUAGUUAUAGACGGCUUUGCUGUCACUUAUAGAUGGAUCCGCGCCGCAUUAGCUAGUUGGUAAGGUAACGGCUUACCAAGGCAACGAUGCGUAGCCGACCUGAGAGGAUGAUCCGCCACACUGGAACUGAGACACGGUCCAGACUCCUACGGGAGGCAGCAGUAGGGAAUCUUCCGCAAUGGGCGAAAGCCUGACGGAGCAACACCGCGUGAGUGAUGAAGGUCUUCGGAUCGUAAAACUCUGUUAUUAGGGAAGAACAAAUGUAUAAGUAACUAUGCACGUCUUGACGGUACCUAAUCAGAAAGCCACGGCUAACUACGUG
rnacentral:rRNA from 1 species